UUUUGGGUUGGCCACAAAAUUCCUUUGGGUUUUUCCAUAACAUCUUAGAGAAAAACCCAACUGAACUUUUUGGCCAAUCCAGU
ensembl:miRNA